AUAUUAUUUCAAAUAAUAGUAAGUACAGUGAGGAAAAGUCAAUAGGGCAUUGCAGAGAUGGAGACCCAUCUUCAGCAAGGAGGGACUCGCUGCCCAACUGCAGGGAAAGUGGUUAGCUGCAGAGCAGAGCUGCCUUGACAAGGGUCUCAUCCUUCCUGGGGCAGCCUCCAUCUGAGAACUAAGUAAGGUGCCUGUAAACGUCUGGCCAUUUUGGCUCACGGCGGGAUACGCUGAUGAGUGAUUCUUACUCCCAAGCCACCCACGUCAGUUGCAUUUCUUCCUCUGCACAAUGUUUCUACCCUCUUCCCUACACAGGGGUUGAUCCCUCUGAAACAUCUUGCAACCAAAACUCCAUCUUGGCGUCUGCUUCCUUCUGAAGAACUCAACCUGGGACACAGUAAGAGGACAGAUCACCUACCUGUGAGGACCCCUGUGAUUCAGUCUGCCUUUCCCUGGCCACGACCCCAUCCUUGCCCCUGUCUGAUGUCCAAGCUGCCCCUGCUGAGACAGACCUGGCCUCUUCUGGACAGCUCCAGUCACAUAAGGACUCCAUAGCUUGUGUGGGCUCAGAGCACUUUGGCUGCAGAGAGGAAAGUCUUUACCACUGGGCAGGACUCACUAGUUCGUGAUGAAGAUGGUGACACGCCCACCUGGAGAGAUGUACACGGUUUCCUUGGAGGAAGCCCACGGCCUGGAGUGAAUCACUCAAGCAGAGUGUUCGCUGGGUGACUGGUGUCCCAUGAGGGCACCAGGCGGAUCACAUUGAAUAUAAAAGAUGCUCCUUGGGGGCCCUCUUAGCUCUUGCCACAUGGAACCCUGAGAAGGGCAGGGCACCUUGGGCUGGAAGGAAGAUGCUGUCAGGGCGUGCACUUGUAGAAGAGGAGAGGCGCCACCAGGCAAUUCCUGGGAUUGCAUGGUUUGCUGAGAGAAUUGGGGCCGGGGACCUCGGGAGCCGUCACGCUUGUGUGGUCCUAGACAUUCUCAAUCACUCCCACCCUCGCCCUAAAACUUAGUCGGGAUGCCCUUUUCUCUCUACGUGGGGACCCUGCUCUAGGGAAGAAGCUGUAGGGGGCUGGUGUGGCCGGGCUGUUUCUGCCUGUCUGCAUCUUACAUUUUACUUCUGGCAGGCACUUUUCCCAGGGACUGGAACUUCAGCCUCACUCCCUAAAUUCUCAAUUCUCCCAGAAUCCCCAGCAACCAACCAAGGGGAGCUCCAGGGGCUGAGGGUCAGUGAGGCACAAAUGGCAGGUGGAUGGCAGGAUUCCUGGGUGUCCCAACCCACACCGCACCCAUGUGGCCCUUGGGUCUCAGCACCUGCAUACCCUGGCCAGCGUGGGGCCAGUGUGGGACCAGCAUGGGGCCAGUGGGAACACAGCAGCAGGCCCAGUGCUUACUCCAACCUCAGGACUGGGCCUGGGGAGUGGCAGGUUGGACUCCUCCAGGAGGCACAGCACCUAGAACCCAUGGUGCUUUCAGGGCAUUGAAUAAAAAAUGUUUUCAUCCAAUUAAAACAGGAAGAGGCCAGGCCCAAAGGCCUGUAAUCUCAGCAUUCUGAGAGGCCAAGACAGGAGGAUUGCUUGAGGCCAGGAGCUCAAGAUCAGCCUGGGCAAUAUAGGGAGACCUCAUCUUUACCAAUAAAUAAAUAAAUAAAUAAAAUGGGAAGAAAAAAAUAAAUUUUUAGAAUCAAAGAUGUGGUUUGUCAUUACAUCCAUGUGGUUGUAAAAUACAAGUUUGAGUUUUUGUUUUUCGGAGGAGGAAGAGGCUCACAAAGACUAAAGUGCUUAGGGCCUUGUAAGAGGGGGCACAUGGCCAGGGCUCAGUGGUUGGGGUAGGGGUCUCUGGAGCCUGGAGGUGGCCUCAGAGCUAAGGGACAGGUGCCCCCAUGAAACACCCCAAG
rnacentral:lncRNA from 10 species